rnacentral:rRNA from 1 species
UACAGAGGGUGCGAGCGUUAAUCGGAAUUACUGGGCGUAAAGGGCGCGUAGGUGGAUGAUUAAGUUGGAUGUGAAAGCCCCGGGCUUAACCUGGGAAUGGCAUACGAUACUGGUCAUCUAGAGUUGAGUAGAGGGAAGUGGAAUUUCCGGUGUAGCGGUGAAAUGCGUAGAUAUCGGAAGGAACACCAGUGGCGAAGGCGGCUUCCUGGACUCAAACUGACACUGAGGUGCGAAAGCGUGGGUAGCAAACAGG